rnacentral:rRNA from 1 species
ACACGACUACAUUAGAUACCCCGGUAGUCCUAGCCGUAAACGAUACUCGCUAGGUGUCGGCCACGGUGCGACCGUUGUCGGUGCCGUAGGGAAGCCGUGAAGCGAGCCACCUGGGAAGUACGGCCGCAAGGCUGAAACUUAAAGGAAUUGGCGGGGGAGCACAACAACGGGUGGAGCUUGCGGUCUAAUUGGAUUCAGCGCCGGAAAUCUUACCGGGACCGACAGCAACAUGAAGGCCAAGCUGAAGACUUUGCCGGAUUAGCUG